UACGUAGGGUGCAAGCGUUAUCCGGAAUUAUUGGGCGUAAAGAGCUCGUAGGCGGUUUGUCGCGUCUGCUGUGAAAACUGGAGGCUCAACCUCCAGCCUGCAGUGGGUACGGGCAGACUAGAGUCCGGAAGAGGAGAGUGGAAUUCCUGGUGUAGCGGUGAAAUGCGCAGAUAUCAGGAGGAACACCGGUGGCGAAGGCGGGUCUCUGGGCCGAAACUGACGCUGAGGAGCGAAAGCGUGGGGGAGCAAACAGG
rnacentral:rRNA from 1 species